rnacentral:rRNA from 1 species
CCUACGGGAGGCAGCAGUGAGGAAUAUUGGUCAAUGGACGCAAGUCUGAACCAGCCAAGUAGCGUGCAGGAUGACGGCCCUCCGGGUUGUAAACUGCUUUUAGUUGGGAAUAAAAUGGGGCUCGUGAGCCCCGUAUUGUAUGUACCAUCAGAAAAAGUACCGGCUAAUUCCGUGCCAGCAGCCGCGGUAAUACGGAAGAUCCGCGCGUUCUCCGGAUUUAUUGGGUUUAAAGGGAGCGUAGGGCGGCUUUUAAGUGAGCUGUGAAAGUCCGCGGCUCAACCGUGGAAUUGCAGUUGAAACUGGAGGCCUUGAGUGCACGUAGGGAUGCCGGAAUUCAUGGUGUAGGGGUGAAAUGCUUAGAUA